rnacentral:rRNA from 1 species
CCUACGGGGGGCAGCAGUGAGGAAUAUUGGUCAAUGGGCGCGAGCCUGAACCAGCCAAGUAGCGUGAAGGAUGACUGCCCUACGGGUUGUAAACUUCUUUUAUAAAGGAAUAAAGUGAGGCACGUGUGCCUUUUUGUAUGUACUUUAUGAAUAAGGAUCGGCUAACUCCGUGCCAGCAGCCGCGGUAAUACGGAGGAUGCGAGCGUUAUCCGGAUUUAUUGGGUUUAAAGGGUGCGUAGGCGGACUGUUAAGUCAGCGGUAAAAGCCCGGGGCUCAACCCCGGCGAGCCGUUGAAACUGGCUGUCUUGAGAUGUCGAGAGGUAUGCGGAAUGCGCAGUGUAGCGGUGAAAUGCUUAGAUAUUGCGCAGAACUCCGAUUGCGAAGGCAGCUUACUAAACUGUGACUGACAUUGAUGCUCGAAAGUGUGGGUAUCAAACAGGAUUAGAUACCCGUGUAGUC